GUUAAUGUAGCUUAAAACAAAGCAAAGCACUGAAAAUGCU
rnacentral:tRNA from 1 species